rnacentral:rRNA from 1 species
GACGAGUCACUACGGUGAUGAAGUAGCUCAUGCCCCGCUUCCAGGAAAAGCCUCUAAGCUCUAGAUUAUCAUUAAUCGUACCCCAAACCGACACAGGUGGUCAGGUAGAGAAUACUCAGGCGCUUGAGAGAACUCGGGUGAAGGAACUAGGCAAAAUGGUGCCGUAACUUCGGGAGAAGGCACGCUGGCAUUAGGUGAAGUCCCUCGCGGAUGGAGCUGAAGCCAGUCGCAGAUACCAGCUGGCUGCAACUGUUUAUUAAAAACACAGCACUGUGCAAACACGAAAGUGGACGUAUACGGUGUGACGCCUGCCCGGUGCUGGAAGGUUAAUUGAUGGGGUUAUCCGUAAGGAGAAGCUCUUGAUCGAAGCCCCAGUAAACGGCGGCCGUAACUAUAACGGUCCUAAGGUAGCGAAAUUCCUUGUCGGGUAAGUUCCGACCUGCACGAAUGGCGUAAUGAUGGCCAGGCUGUCUCCACCCGAGACUCAGUGAAAUUGAACUCGCUGUGAAGAUGCAGUGUACCCGCGGCAAGACGGAAAGACCCCGUGAACCUUUACUAUAGCUUGACACUGAACAUUGAGCCUUGAUGUGUAGGAUAGGUGGGAGGCUUUGAAGUGUGGACGCCAGUCUGCAUGGAGCCAACCUUGAAAUACCACCCUUUAAUGUUUGAUGUUCUAACGUAGCCCCGUUAUCCGGGGUGCGGACAGUGUCUGGUGGGUAGUUUGACUGGGGCGGUCUCCUCCCAAAGAGUAACGGAGGAGCACGAAGGUUGGCUAAGCAUGGUCGGACAUCAUGCGGUUAGUGCAAAGGCAUAAGCCAGCUUGACUGCGAGAGUGACGGCUCGAGCAGGUACGAAAGUAGGUCUUAGUGAUCCGGUGGUUCUGAAUGGAAGGGCCAUCGCUCAACGGAUAAAAGGUACUCCGGGGAUAACAGGCUGAUACCGCCCAAGAGUUCAUAUCGACGGCGGUGUUUGGCACCUCGAUGUCGGCUCAUCACAUCCUGGGGCUGAAGUAGGUCCCAAGGGUACGGCUGUUCGCCGUUUAAAGUGGUACGCGAGCUGGGUUUAGAACGUCGUGAGACAGUUCGGUCCCUAUCUGCCGUGGGCGUUGGAAGAUUGAAAGGGGCUGCUCCUAGUACGAGAGGACCGGAGUGGACGCACCACUGGUGUUCGGGUUGUCAUGCCAAUGGCAUUGCCCGGUAGCUAAGUGCGGAAGAGAUAACCGCUGAAAGCAUCUAAGCGGGAAACUUGCCUUGAGAUGAGUCUUCCCUGAC